CAUGUUAUUUAAAUCCUGGGGUGCGAGAUCACGGAAGGCUUGUAUCGUGGACGCGCCGACAGAUUUGUUGUCAUUAAUUAAAAUACCUCAUGGGGGCGACAGAAAAUACAUUGUCUUGUUAAGAGUUGGUAGAAAUGACCGGCCUACAGUUUGGAGUGGUCCUUAAUUAAUAAGUGCUGUGCACUUGAUACUGGACUUAAAUAAUGAGUAGUGUUACUGACUGUGGUGGGUUAAAUUUACUGAUGUGCGUGUGGAGAUUGGCCAAACUCACUUAAUGCUCACUCGUACGGGGGGUGAUGUGCCCAUGAAUGGUGUACAAUUCAGUUUAAUUGAAUUUGUAGAGUGAAGUC